rnacentral:rRNA from 1 species
UACAGGGGGUGCAAACGUUGCUCGGAAUUACUGGGCGUAAAGGGCGCGUAGGCGGCCUGCUAAGUCGAACGUGAAAUCCCUGGGCUCAACCCAGGAACUGCGUCCGAUACUGGUUGGCUUGAAUCCGGGAGAGGGAUGCGGAAUUCCAGGUGUAGCGGUGAAAUGCGUAGAUAUCUGGAGGAACACCGGUGGCGAAGGCGGCAUCCUGGACCGACACUGACGCUGAGGCGCGAAAGCUAGGGUAGCAAACGGG